rnacentral:rRNA from 1 species
UGGGGAAUUUUGGACAAUGGGGGAAACCCUGAUCCAGCCAUCCCGCGUGUAUGAUGAAGGCCUUCGGGUUGUAAAGUACUUUUGGCAGAGAAGAAAAGGUACCUCCUAAUACGAGGUACUGCUGACGGUAUCUGCAGAAUAAGCACCGGCUAACUACGUGCCAGCAGCCGCGGUAAUACGUAGGGUGCAAGCGUUAAUCGGAAUUACUGGGCGUAAAGCGUGUGUAGGCGGUUCGGAAAGAAAGAUGUGAAAUCCCAGGGCUCAACCUUGGAACUGCAUUUUUAACUGCCGAGCUAGAGUAUGUCAGAGGGGGGUAGAAUUCCACGUGUAGCAGUGAAAUGCGUAGAUAUGUGGAGGAAUACCGAUGGCGAAGGCAGCCCCCUGGGAUAAUACUGACGCUCAGACACGAAAGCGUGGGGAGCAAACAGG